CAGUCGCCGCGGUAAUACGUAGGUCCCGAGCGUUGUCCGGAUUUAUUGGGCGUAAAGCGAGCGCAGGCGGUUAGAUAAGUCUGAAGUUAAAGGCUGUGGCUUAACCAUAGUACGCUUUGGAAACUGUUUAACUUGAGUGCAAGAGGGGAGAGUGGAAUUCCAUGUGUAGCGGUGAAAUGCGUAGAUAUAUGGAGGAACACCGGUGGCGAAAGCGGCUCUCUGGCUUGUAACUGACGCUGAGGCUCGAAAGCCAAGGUAGCGAACAGGAUUAGAUACCCCUGUAGUCCCUGUCUCUUAUACA
rnacentral:rRNA from 1 species